UACGUAGGGGGCAAGCGUUAUCCGGAUUUACUGGGUGUAAAGGGAGCGUAGACGGCUGCGCAAGUCAGAAGUGAAAGCCCGGGGCUCAACCGCGGGACUGCUUUUGAAACUGUGUAGCUAGAGUGCAGGAGAGGUAAGUGGAAUUCCUAGUGUAGCGGUGAAAUGCGUAGAUAUUAGGAGGAACACCGGUGGCGAAGGCGGCUUACUGGACUGCAACUGACGUUGAGGCUCGAAAGCGUGGGGAGCAAACAGG
rnacentral:rRNA from 1 species